rnacentral:rRNA from 1 species
AUUGAACGCUGGCGGCAGGCCUAACACAUGCAAGUCGAGCGAGCGGCGGACGGGUGAGUAAGGUCUGGGAAACUGCCUGAUGGAGGGGGAUAACUACUGGAAAAGGUAGCUAAUACCGCAUACCCUCAGAUGUGCCCAGAUGGGAUUAGCUGGUAGGUGGGGGAACGGCUCACCUAGGCGACGAUCCCUAGCUGUGCUGAGAGGAUGACCAGCCACACUGGAACUGAGACACGGUCCAGACUCCUACGAGAGGCAGCAGUGGGGAAGAUUGCACAAUGGGCGCAAGCCUGAUGCAGCCAGGCCGCGUGGGUGAAGAAGGCCUUCGGGUUGUAAAGCACUUUCAGCGGGGAGGCGUUACCCGCAGAAGAAGCACCGGCUAACUCCGUGCCAGCCGCCGCGGUAAUAC